GACGAACGCUGGCGGCGUGCUUAACACAUGCAAGUCGAACGGAAAGGCCCUGCUUUUGUGGGGUGCUCGAGUGGCGAACGGGUGAGUAACACGUGAGUAACCUGCCCUUGACUUUGGGAUAACUUCAGGAAACUGGGGCUAAUACCGGAUAGGAGCUCCUGCUGCAUGGUGGGGGUUGGAAAGUUUCGGCGGUUGGGGAUGGACUCGCGGCUUAUCAGCUUGUUGGUGGGGUAGUGGCUUACCAAGGCUUUGACGGGUAGCCGGCAUGAGAGGGUGACCGGCCACAUUGGGACUGAGAUACGGCCCAGACUCCUACGGGAGGCAGCAGUGGGGAAUAUUGCACAAUGGGCGGAAGCCUGAUGCAGCAACGCCGCGUGCGGGAUGACGGCCUUCGGGUUGUAAACCGCUUUCGCCUGUGACGAAGCGUGAGUGACGGUAAUGGGUAAAGAAGCAACGGCUAACUACGUG
rnacentral:rRNA from 1 species